GGAUGACUUGUGACUAGGAGUGAAAGGCUAAUCAAACCCGGAAAUAGCUGGUUCUCCCCGAAAUGCCUUUAGGGACAGCCUCAUACAAAAUUAUCGGAGGUAAAGCACUAGUUGGACUAGGGGGUGUCAAAGCCUACCAAACCCAGUUAAACUCUGAAUGCCGAUAAUCAACGUAUGGGAGUGAGACUGCGUGCGCUAAGGUUCGCAAGUCAAAAGGGAAACAGCCCAGACCGUCAGCUAAGGUCCCCAAAUACUGCUUGAGUGUGAAAUGAAGUGUGGAUACAAAGACAGCCAGGAGGUUGGCUUAGAAGCAGCAAUUCCUUUAAAGAGUGCGUAACAGCUCACUGGUCGAGUGUUCAUGCGCAGAUAAUGUAACGGGGCUAAGCAGUAUACCGAAGCUACGGGUCUUACGCGUAAUGUGUAAGGCGGUAGGGGAGCAUUCCAUUAACUGAAGAAGGCGUACUCGCGAGAGAUGCUGGAGGAGAUGGAAGAGAGAAUGCAGGUAUAAGUAACGAAAAGAGAGGUGAGAUCCCUCUCCGCCGAAAAUCUAAGGUUUCCUGGGUAAAGGUAAUCUGCCCAGGGUAAGUCGGCCCCUAAGGCGAGGGCGAAGGCCGUAGUCGAUGGGAAAUCGGUUCAAAUUCCGAUACCUUUUAUAAUUUCGAGGGCAGGACGCAUGAGGUGAAACCCGGCCGGAGAAUGGUAGUUCCGGUCGAAGUAUCCGAGCCGUUAAAAAGGGUAAUAGGCAAAUCCGUUAUCCUAGGUAAGGAGCGACAGCGAGUGAAGCUACGGCAGAGCGAAGCGGGUGUAAUCAAGGUGCCGGGAAAUACUGUCUAAGGCUAGGUUAUAAAAGACCGUACCGUAAACCGACACAGGUAGAUGAGAUGAGAAAUCUAAGGCGCUCGAGAGAACUCGCGUUAAGGAAUUCGGCAAAAUGCACACGUAACUUCGGAAGAAGUGUGGCCUCCUUUUUUAAAAGAUAUGGGGGCGUCACAAACCAGGCCCAGGCGACUGUUUAUCAAAAACACAGCCAUCUGCGAAUCAUCAAUGAGACGUAUAGGUGGUGACACCUGCCCGGUGCCGGAAGGUUAAGAGGAGGGGUUAGCGGGUAACUGCGAAGCUCUGAAUUGAAGCCCCGGUAAACGGCGGCCGUAACUAUAACGGUCCUAAGGUAGCGAAAUUCCUUGUCGGGUAAGUUCCGACCCGCACGAAUGGUGUAACGAUUCUGGGCACUGUCUCAACGCGAGACUCGGUGAAAUUUAUAUACCGGUAAAGAAGCCGGUUACCCAUAGUUAGACGGAAAGACCCCGUGAACCUUCACCGCAACUUAUUAUUGGGACUUGGUUUAUCAUGUGUAGAAUAGGUGGGAGGCUGUGAAACUUGGCCGUUAGGUCAGGCGGAGCCGACAAGUGAAAUACCACCCUUGAUAAAUCAGGUUUCUAACCUGUCCCGUGAAACCGGGAUAGGGACAGUGGUAGGCAGGCGGUUUGACUGGGGCGGUCGCCUCCUAAAAUGUAACGGAGGUGCGCGAAGGUCUCCUCACGCCGGUUGGAAAUCGGCGCAGCGAGUGUAAAGGCACAAGGAGGCUUAACUGCGAGAGUGACAGCUCGAGCAGAUACGAAAGUAGGUCUUAAUGAUCUGGCGGUAGCGAGUGGAAGUGCCGUCACUUAACGGAUAAAAGGUACUCCGGGGAUAACAGGCUGAUAUUCCCCAAGAGUUCACAUCGACGGGAAUGUUUGGCACCUCGAUGUCGGCUCAUCGCAUCCUGGGGCUGAAGCAGGUCCCAAGGGUUUGGCUGUUCGCCAAUUAAAGCGGUACGUGAGCUGGGUUCAGAACGUCGCGAGACAGUUCGGUCCCUAUCUGCUAUGGGCGCAGGAUACGUGAGAGGAGCUGUUUUUAGUACGAGAGGACCGAAAUGGACGAACCUCUGGUGUACCGGUUAUCCUGCCAAGGGUAAUUGCCGGGUAGCUAAGUUCGGAAGGGAUAACCGCUGAAGGCAUCUAAGUGGGAAGCCCGCCUCAAGACUACGUAUCCCUAGGGGUUUAACCCCUCUAAAGACUCCUUGCACACUACAAGGUUGAUAGGUUGGAGGUCUAAGCAUAGUAAUAUGUUAAGCCGACCAAUACUAAUAAGUCGUGAGGCUUGACC
rnacentral:rRNA from 1 species